AGGAUCUUUCUGGCAAGGAUUGCGCUCUCCUGGGUUUCAAGGCUGCGAGAAUUACAAUUCAUUCAGAGUUCAAGCCUUUGUUUAAGACAAUGUCCUCGGGGUUAUGAGGUGAAGGACUUUGCAGAAGCUCUUAUUGAUACCUGGGACAAACAGCCUCUACCAGCUCUGAUGAAGGAGAUGAGAUAAACCGGUGUUCUCAGCUGUGCGGCUCAGACACAAUAAGGACAGAUAAAGAAAUGCAAAGAGCAUUGCAAAACACUAUUUAUUACUAUUUUCAGCGGUGGGGCACAAAGUACGACGUCUUUCUGAUGAAGUCCUUCUCAGCACAUUUCUGACGUGGUGCCAGGUUAACUGAGAUGCUGCAGUUCCAAGGAGGCAGGAAAAAAGUUGGAGAUGAACUUGUAGCCCAUGACAGCAAUGU